GGGCGAUUAGUGUAGUCUGGAUAUCAUGCCGGCCUUCUAAGCCGGCGACACGGGUUCGAAUCCUGUAUUGCCCACCA
rnacentral:tRNA from 1 species